AGUGAACGCUGGCGGUAGGCCUAACACAUGCAAGUCGAACGGCAGCACAGUAAGAGCUUGCUCUUACGGGUGGCGAGUGGCGGACGGGUGAGGAAUACAUCGGAAUCUACUUUUUCGUGGGGGAUAACGUAGGGAAACUUACGCUAAUACCGCAUACGACCUACGGGUGAAAGCAGGGGAUCUUCGGACCUUGCGCGAUUGAAUGAGCCGAUGUCGGAUUAGCUAGUUGGCGGGGCAACGGCCCACCAAGGCGACGCUCCGUAGCUGGUCUGAGAGGAUGAUCAGCCACACUGGAACUGAGACACGGUCCAGACUCCUACGGGAGGCAGCAGUGGGGAAUAUUGGACAAUGGGCGCAAGCCUGAUCCAGCCAUACCGCGUGAGUGAAGAAGGCCUUCGGGUUGUAAAGCCCUUUUGUUGGGAAAGAAAAGCAGCAGGUUAAUACCCCGCUGUUCUGACGGUACCCAAAGAAUAAGCACCGGCUAACUUCGUG
rnacentral:rRNA from 1 species